rnacentral:rRNA from 1 species
CGGGCUGCAGCCCAAUGUGGAAUUCGCCCUUUUCCGGUUGAUCUGCCGGACCUGACUGCUAUCGGAAUGAUACUAAGCCAUGCGAGUCAUUGUAGCAAUACAAGGCAGACGGCUCAGUAACGCGUAGUCAAUCUACCCUGUGGACGGGAAUAACCUCGGGAAACUGAGAAUAAUACCCGAUAGAACAUUAUGCCUGGAAUGGUUUAUGUUUCAAAUGAUUUAUCGCCAUAGGAUGGGACUGCGGCCUAUCAGCUUGUUGGUGAGGUAAUGGCCCACCAAGACUAUUACAGGUACGGGCUCUGAGAGGAGUAGCCCGGAGAUGGGUACUGAGACACGGACCCAGGCCCUAUGGGGCGCAGCAGGCGAGAAAACUUUGCAAUGUGCGAAAGCACGACAAGGUUAAUCCGAGUGGUUUCUGCUAAAGAAACCUUUUGCCAGUCCUAGAAACACUGGUGAAUAAGGGGUGGGCAAGUUCUGGUGUCAGCCGCCGCGGUAAAACCAGCACCUCAAGUGGUCAGGAUGAUUAUUGGGCCUAAAGCAUCCGUAGCUCGUUUUGUAAGUUUUCGGUUAAAUCCAUGCGCUCAACGUAUGGGCUGCCGGGAAUACUGCAUAACUAGGAAGUGGGAGAGGUAGACGGUACUCGGUAGGAAGGGGUAAAAUCCUUUGAUCUAUUGAUGACCACCUGUGGCGAAGGCGGUCUACCAGAACACGUUCGACGGUGAGGGAUGAAAGCUGGGGGAGCAAACCGGAUUAGAUACCCGGGUAGUCCCAGCUGUAAACUAUGCAAACUCAGUGAUGCAUUGGCUUGUCCUGUUAAGUCAGGUAACGAGCGAGAUCCCUGCCUCUAGUUGCCACCAUUACUCUCAGGAGUAGUGGGGCGAAUUAGCGGGACCGCCGCAGUUAAUGCGGAGGAAGGAAGGGGCCACGGCAGGUCAGUAUGCCCCGAAACUCUGGGGCCACACGCGGGCUGCAAUGGUAGUGACAAUUGGUUCCGAAUCCGAAAGGAGGAGGUAAUCCUCAAACGCUACCACAGUUAUGACUGAGGGCUGCAACUCGCCCUCACGAAUAUGGAAUCCCUAGUAACUGCGUGUCAUUAUCGCGCGGUGAAUACGUCCCUGCUCCUUGCACACACCGCCCGUCGUUUCAUUGAAGUUUGCUUUUAGCGAGGUGACGUCUGAUUGGCGUUAUCGAACUUGAGGUAAGUGACAAGGGAAAAGUCG